UGAUCCCUGCGCGUGAUUGAGGCCAACUGUGAAAUCGUCACCGAAAUCCUGCGGCGAAGGGUACAGAGAGCGCGCAAGAAAGUAGAGAGCUUCGUGUUUUAGCACCAUUGCAGGUAGUGUCAAACUAAAGCCCAUGGGAGAACUUCCUCAGACCCAGGAACCACUGAAAUCAUUACAAGAAUUGUCUGCAUCUCUGGAACUCUGAUGCUUUCCCCGAUCUACCAUGCCUCUUAUAAAAUGC